UCUCUCUCCUAGGUAUCCUGAUUAGUGAUCAUAAAGCAUUCCAUGGCAAGUCUUGUCAUCCUAAGACUCUACGAAAAUGUUCAGGAAAAACUAAUUAUAGGACUCUACAAACAAUUUGUCAAUUAUAACCAUUUGAAUUGCUCAAUAACCCCAGUCAAAAGGCAAUUAAGAUGUUCCCCUGACAAUUUUGAAAUAAAAGGUCAAUCAGAUGCUUCCCUUCAUUCCUCAUUAAUAAUGGUGCAAUGUGCAGCAUAUGUAAUCAUUAAUCACUAAAGAAAUGCUGGAAUUGUAUUAUAGAGUGGUAGAAACAGGCUAAGAAAUCUGCAUCUGAGAGAUGAGAUAAAGUCUAGCAUUAUAAUAAAGAACUUCUCAAAAAUACUUGUAAGAGUGUAGCAGUAGUAUCAAAUGAAUCUCACAACAAGGGGGCCAAAUCGUGGAAAAUUUUCGUCUUGUGCUUGAUCUCUAAAACCCAUAUCUUCAUUAAAUUACUCUUCUAGAAUCUUCCAAGGUUAUUCUUCUCACUUCAAAAAAUUAUUUUUGUGUUUCAUUUGAACCGAUAUUUAUUCAUUUCUUCUAUAGACUCAUCAGGUUUUGUGUAACUCUAUUCUAGAUUACGGUAAAGUUAUGAAUAAUAUUGAGUUUCGAUCGAACCUUACUGUAAUCCAAAACUGAAUUAUAGAAAAUCAACUGCGAUUAAUCGAUGGAAAGAAUAAAUUAUGCAACAAUACAGAAGAAACAAGAAAAUAAACCGUUGAACCUCUUUUUUCUCCAACUAGUCACAAAAAGCAUCUAAAUUUUUCCAUCACAUUUUUUAGAUAAUUCAACUACAUGAAAAACCUAAGGCCUAUAUUUUUUUAUAGAAUUUCACAAUUCAAUUGUACAAAAUAUUUCCCGAGAAGUCGAUAUAUGCAAUAAAAAGUAAAAAAUAGUAAAUCGAAACAUCAAAGUAAGCCUGUGAAAGAGAGAAAAAUUUAUAAACCUUGGGAAGUUCUAAGAGAGCAUUUCAUGAUGAUCGGGGUUGCAUAGAUCAUGCACAGGUUGUUCAGCCGAGAGAUAUUGCAACCAUUAUUAGCUGAAUUUCUAGCACCAGAAUACGAUGCUCUGCCGACGAAGCCUCCACUGUCUCCACUGCCUCCACCGAGACCUCAACCUCCAUAUGCCAAAUGAUAAAAUGUGAGAUAAAUAAGGACAUUCUCUUAAUUUCUUCUUUAUUGUUUGUGUUAUCGCUUGCUUUCCUUUUAUUGUUUUACUUCAGUGUGAACAUAACAAACACAAAAUUCAACUGUUUGAUGAAAAGACAAAACCUAGCACCAUAAAUGUGACACUCGCAUGAUUUUUUUAUAAUUUUG
rnacentral:lncRNA from 1 species